AUAGCUGGUUUUAGAGGAUGAUCAGCAACACUGGGACUGAGACACGGCCCAGACUCCUACGGGAGGCAGCAGUGGGGAAUCUUAGACAAUGGGCGCAAGCCUGAUCUAGCCAUGCCGCGUGUGUGAUGAAGGUCUUAGGAUCGUAAAGCACUUUCGCCAGGGAUGAUAAUGACAGUACCUGGUAAAGAAACCCCGGCUAACUCCGUGCCAGCAGCCGCGGUAAUACGGAGGGGGUUAGCGUUGUUCGGAAUUACUGGGCGUAAAGCGUACGUAGGCGGAUCAGAAAGUUAGGGGUGAAAUCCCGAGGCUCAACCUCGGAACUGCCUCUAAAACUCCUGGUCUUGAGUUCGAGAGAGGUGAGUGGAAUUCCAAGUGUAGAGGUGAAAUUCGUAGAUAUUUGGAGGAACACCAGUGGCGAAGGCGGCUCACUGGCUCGAUACUGACGCUGAGGUACGAAAGUGUGGGGAGCAAACAGGAUUAGAUACCCUGGUAGUCCACACCGUAAACGAUGAAUGCCAGUCGUCGGGCAGUAUACUGUUCGGUGACACACCUAACGGAUUAAGCAUUCCGCCUGGG
rnacentral:rRNA from 1 species